CCUACGGGGUGCAGCAGUGGGGAAUAUUGCACAAUGGGCGAGAGCCUGAUCCAGCAAAGUAGCGUGAACGAUGAAGGCCUUCGGGUCGUAAAGCUCUGUCUUCAUGGGAGAUAAGGACGGUACUUGAGGAGUAAGCUCCGUCUAACUUCGUUCCGGCAGGCGCGGUAAUACGUAGGGGGCUGGCGUUAUCCGGAAUUACUGGGCGUAAAGGGGGCGUAGGUGGUUUCUUAAGUCAGAGGUGAAAGGCUACGGCUAAACCGUAGUAAGCAUUUGAAACUGGGAAACUUGAGUGCAGGAGAGGAGAGUGGAAUUCCUGGUGUAGCGGUGAAAUGCGUAGAUAUCAGGAGGAACACCAGUUGCGAAGGCGGCUCUCUGGACUGUAACUGACACUGAGGCACGAAAGCGUGGGGAGCAAACAGGAUUAGAUACCCUUGUAGUC
rnacentral:rRNA from 1 species